rnacentral:misc_RNA from 1 species
GAGUGGUGUUUGGUUUGUUACGUGUGGUUGGCUGCGGCGUUUGCAACAACUUCCAUGCUCUCAGACCUCUUCAGUUGUGCGGCAAGGCUUGUAUCGCCUUGAGCGUAUCGUGGGUUUUCUGUGAUGGCUACCUAAUCGACGGUAUCGUUUGGAUUGAUCAAAGUGUGAUUUCGUCUUCCGUCGCGUUUGCGGCGUGAGGUGAACCUUGACGCGGUCUCUUUGAUCCAUCUCGUCGAAGCAUAUGCUUUGACGUUGUGGCACAUUGGGCAUUGCUUGGUCUCUUGUGUACGGAACACGUAGCGGGCAUGGAUCUAACGAUUCUUGUUUGCCCUCGUAUUAGCGUAACGCUUCUCAAACACGACUUGCAUCGCGUUUUAGCUCGUAC